AACGAACGCUGGCGGCAUGCCUAACACAUGCAAGUCGAACGAGACCUUCGGGUCUAGUGGCGCACGGGUGCGUAACGCGUGGGAACCUGCCCUUAGGUUCGGAAUAACUCCCCGAAAGGGGUGCUAAUACCGGAUAAUGUCUUCGGACCAAAGAUUUAUCGCCUUUGGAUGGGCCCGCGUUGGAUUAGCUAGUUGGCAGGGUAAAAGCCUACCAAGGCGACGAUCCAUAGCUGGUCUGAGAGGAUGAUCAGCCACACUGGGACUGAGACACGGCCCAGACUCCUACGGGAGGCAGCAGUGGUGAAUAUUGGACAAUGGGCGAAAGCCUGAUCCAGCAAUGCCGCGUGAGUGAUGAAGGCCUUAGGGUUGUAAAGCUCUUUUACCCGGGAUGAUAAUGACAGUACCGGGAGAAUAAGCUCCGGCUAACUCCGUG
rnacentral:rRNA from 1 species